rnacentral:tRNA from 1 species
GGGGGUGUAGCUCAGUGGUAGAGCAUUUGACUGCAGAUUAAGAGGUCCUCGGUUCAAAUCCAAGCGCUCCCU